rnacentral:rRNA from 1 species
UACGGGGGGUGCGAGCGUUGUCCGGAAUCACUGGGCGUAAAGGGCGCGUAGGUGGUUUGAUAAGGGUGUGGUGAAAGUCCGGGGCUCAACCCCGGAUCUGCCGUGCCGACUGUCAAACUCGAGGACUGUAGAGGCAGACGGAAUUCCGGGUGUAGCGGUGGAAUGCGUAGAGAUCCGGAGGAAGACCGGUGGCGAAGGCGAGUCUCUGGACAUUUCCUGACGCUGAGGCACGAAAGCCAGGGGAGCAAACGGG